UAUUUGCAGAUAUAAGUAUGAUGUAUAUACCUGAAAAAUGUAUUGCACAUUCAAAGUAUUCUUGCACGUAUCAUGAUAUGUUGUACAUGUCACAUGACAGAAAGUAUUGCAC